GAUGAACGCUAGCUACAGGCGUAACACAUGCAAGUCGAGGGGCAGCAUUGGAGUAGCAAUACUUCAGAUGGCGACCGGCGCACGGGUGAGUAACACGUAUCCAACCUGCCGCUUACUCGGGGAUAGCCUUUCGAAAGAAAGAUUAAUACCCGAUGGUAUAAAGAGUUCGCAUGUUCUCUUUAUUAAAGAAUUUCGGUAAGCGAUGGGGAUGCGUUCCAUUAGAUAGUUGGCGGGGUAACGGCCCACCAAGUCUACGAUGGAUAGGGGUUCUGAGAGGAAGGUCCCCCACAUUGGAACUGAGACACGGUCCAAACUCCUACGGGAGGCAGCAGUGAGGAAUAUGGUCAAUGGACGAGAGUCUGAACCAGCC
rnacentral:rRNA from 1 species